UACGGGGGGGCGAAGCGUUGUCCGGAUUUACUGGGCGUAAAGAGCGCGCAGGCGGUCGAUCAAGUCGAGUGUGAAAGCCCCCGGCUCAACUGGGGAGGGUCAUUCGAUACUGAUCGACUCGAAGGCAGGAGAGGGUAGUGGAAUUCCCGGUGUAGUGGUGAAAUGCGUAGAUAUCGGGAGGAACACCAGUGGCGAAGGCGACUACCUGGCCUGUUCUUGACGCUGAGGCGCGAAAGCUAGGGGAGCAAACGGG
rnacentral:rRNA from 1 species